rnacentral:rRNA from 1 species
GUGAGGAAUAUUGGGCAAUGGGCGCAAGCCUGACCCAGCCAUGCCGCGUGAAGGAUGAAUGCCCUAUGGGUUGUAAACUUCUUUUGUACGGGACGAAACUCCUGGUCGUGACCGGGAUUGACUGUACCGUGCGAAUAAGCAUCGGCUAACUCCGUGCCAGCAGCCGCGGUAAUACGGAGGAUGCAAGCGUUAUCCGGAUUCAUUGGGUUUAAAGGGUGCGUAGGCGGAAUAAUAAGUCAGUGGUGAAAGCCUGCGGCUUAACCGUAGAAUUGCCAUUGAUACUGUUAUUCUUGAGUAUAGUUGAGGUGGGCGGAAUGUGUAAUGUAGCGGUGAAAUGCUUAGAUAUUACACAGAACACCAAUUGCGAAGGCAGCUCACUAAGCUGUUACUGACGCUGAGGCACGAAAGCGUGGGGAGCAAACAGGAUUAGAAACCCGGGUAGUCC